rnacentral:lncRNA from 1 species
GGGCCACAUAUUCUCUUAUGGACUAUUCGGUCAUGAGUUGUGAAUCGAUGAAUACCUGUAGAUGCUUCACAUCGAGAUAUUUGGCGAUCUUCAAUCCGACUAUUAGAGCUUCAUACUCUACUUAAUUGUUAGAAGCUUUGAAGCUGAAUCGAAGUGCAUACUCAAUCACCACCCCAUCAAUGUUGGUCAUAAUCAGGCCCACACUGCAUCUUUGGGUAUUAG